rnacentral:rRNA from 1 species
CAAUGCGAGGGUACACCAUCCGCGGAAAAUGUUCCGGCAACGUAGUCGUGCACUUCUCCCUUUGUAGAACGUCGCGACCCGUUGCGUGUCGGUCUACGGCUCGAGGUCGUUGCUUGUCGCGUCGCCUUUGCGCGUUCGCGGCAAACGCUCGAUGUCCCGGCCGACUGCGCGACGGUACUCUGACGGUAUUGGGCCGCAACCAAUCCACCAUUCAAUCUUCGGAGAGAAUGUUCGAAUCUGCGUCAGGCCCGCCGCAAGCUCGGCUAGUAAUUACCCGGAUGGUACGGACCUAGUGCCGGCUCCGGGCCUAGCCAGCUGUUGGUUGGCGGUGUCCUCGGACUGGCCAAGCUUUGAAUUACCGGUCAGCGACGCUACUGCUUUGGGUCCUCUCAGGACCCGUCUUGAAACACGGACCAAGGAGUCUAACAUGUGCGCGAGUCAUUGGGACUUGUGUGAAACCUAAAGGCAUAAUGAAAGUAAAAGUCGAGCUUUGCAUCGACCGAGGGAGGAUGGGCCGCGUCACGAUGCGGCCUCGCACUCCCGGGGCGUCUCUAUCUCAUUGCGAGAGAAG